GGAAGCACGCAGCGUUCUGGUGAUGCUCCCGGACUUCAAAUCCGGUGUGGGGCGUUAACACCGUCCCGGGUGGGUUCGAUUCCCAUGUGCUUCCGCCA
rnacentral:tRNA from 1 species